rnacentral:rRNA from 1 species
UUGGCAAGGUUCGAACGGUAGCACAGAGAGCUUGCUCUCGGGUGACGAGUGGCGGACGGGUGAGUAAUGUCUGGGAAACUGCCUGAUGGAGGGGGAUAACUACUGGAAACGGUAGCUAAUACCGCAUAACGUCGCAAGACCAAAGAGGGGGACCUUCGGGCCUCUUGCCAUCAGAUGUGCCCAGAUGGGAUUAGCUAGUAGGUGGGGUAACGGCUCACCUAGGCGACGAUCCCUAGCUGGUCUGAGAGGAUGACCAGCCACACUGGAACUGAGACACGGUCCAGACUCCUACGGGAGGCAGCAGUGGGGAAUAUUGCACAAUGGGCGCAAGCCUGAUGCAGCCAUGCCGCGUGUAUGAAGAAGGCCUUCGGGUUGUAAAGUACUUUUCAGCGGGGAGGAAGGUGUUUGUGGUUAAUAACCGCAGCAAUUGACGUUACCCGCAGAAGAAGCACCGGCUAAACUCCGUUGCCAGCAGCCGCGGGUAAUACGGAGGGUGCAAGCGUUUAAUC